rnacentral:sRNA from 1 species
AGAUGUAGGGGAGAUGGGGCAGAGGAGAGGUCUCUGAGCACCAGGAGAAGGUCCUGGGGUGGGAGGGGGCAUGGUGUGGUAACCGCCGCCCUACCUGGUGGCACCCGAGGAGCUUCCCCACUCAGGAUGUGGUUUUCUCCAUCAUGGAAAUGUUUUGGAUAGUUUCUCAGCUGCAUCUGAAGCCUGGAAGCCCAGGCCGAUGGGUCAGAGCAGGAGCCUUUGGGGAGAGGCUAUCAGUGGCUCUCAGAGCAAGGAGGGGUCUGGGCAGUGCCUGGUACCGGGCGGGAGCCAGGCUCCCUGGGCCCGUGACUGAGUUCUGCGUGCUCCCCUCUUCUCACAGGUGGUACAAGCUGCACUCCAAGCCAGGCAAGAAGGAGAAGGAACGCGGCGAGAUUGAAGUCACCAUCCAGUUCACGCGCAACAACCUGAGCGCCAGUAUGUUUGACCUGUCCAUGAAGGACAAGCCAAGGUCCCCCUUCAGCAAGAUCAGGGACAAGAUGAAGGGCAAGAAGAAGUAUGAUCUGGAAUCUGCCUCUGCCAUCCUCCCAAGCAGCGCCAUAGAGGAUCCUGACCUGGGCAGCCUGGGCAAGAUGGGCAAAGCCAAAGGCUUCUUCCUCCGCAACAAGCUGCGCAAGUCGUCCCUGACCCAGUCCAACACCUCGCUGGGCUCGGACAGCACCCUGUCCUCAGCCAGCGGGAGCUUGGCCUACCAGGGACCUGGCGCCGAGCUCCUCACCCGCUCACCAAGCCGUAGCAGCUGGCUGUCCACUGAAGGGGGCAGGGACUCUGCACAGUCCCCCAAGCUGUUCACCCAUAAGAGGACCUACAGCGAUGAGGCCAACCAGAUGCGAGUGGCUCCUCCUCGGGCCCUUCUGGACCUUCAGGGCCACCUGGAUGCUGCCUCCCGCUCUUCGCUCUGUGUCAAUGGGAGCCACAUUUACAAUGAGGAGCCCCAGGGCCCUGUGCGGCACCGCAGCUCCAUCUCGGGCUCGCUUCCAUCCUCUGGCUCCUUGCAAGCUGUCUCUUCCCGGUUCUCCGAGGAGGGGCCUCGUUCCACAGAUGACACCUGGCCCAGAGGCAGUCGUAGCAACAGCAGCUCAGAGGCAGUGCUUGGACAGGAGGAGCUGAGUGCUCAGGCUAAAGUCCUGGCCCCUGGGGCCAGCCACCCUGGAGAGGAGGAGGGGGCCCGGCUACCAGAGGGCAAGCCGGUCCAGGUUGCCACACCCAUAGUGGCCUCCUCUGAGGCUGUGGCAGAGAAGGAGGGAGCCCGGAAGGAGGAACGCAAGCCCCGGAUGGGUCUCUUCCACCACCACCACCAAGGCCUAAGUCGGAGCGAGUUGGGGCGCCGAAGCUCUCUGGGGGAAAAGGGGGGUCCCAUCCUGGGGGCCUCCCCACAUCACUCAUCCAGUGGGGAGGAAAAGGCCAAGAGUAGCUGGUUUGGCUUGAGAGAAGCCAAGGACCCAACUCAGAAACCCAGUCCCCACCCCGUGAAGCCCCUCAGUGCCACCCCUGUGGAGGGCAGUCCCGACAGGAAGCAGUCCCGCUCCAGUCUGAGCAUAGCCCUGAGCAGUGGGCUGGAGAAGCUCAAAACAGUCACAUCUGGGAGCAUUCAGCCUGUGACCCAGGCCCCCCAGGCUGGCCAGAUGGUGGACACCAAAAGGCUGAAGGACUCAGCUGUGCUGGACCAGUCGGCCAAGUACUACCAUCUGACCCACGAUGAGCUCAUCAGCCUGCUCCUGCAGCGGGAGCGGGAGCUGAGCCAGCGAGACGAGCAUGUGCAGGAGCUGGAGAGCUACAUCGACCGGCUGCUGGUGCGGAUCAUGGAGACCUCACCCACGCUGCUGCAGAUCCCCCCGGGCCCCCCCAAAUAGCCUUCCUCACCCUACCCCCAGGAGGGUUGGCAUGGACCUACUGCUGCCUGCCCUCUCUCCUCCUGAACUCUCUCAUCUGCAGUGGGGCAUCGUCUGUCUUGCCUUGUCACUCCUUGCUCCUCUCCCUCCUGCCUCAACUGCGGCUGCUGGAAGGGGGCCCUCUGGAUUCCCUUUGGAGGCAUCAGGUUCUGUGCACAACUUGUGUGUCUUUGGGAGCCCUGGGUCUUUCCCACCUGCCUGUUUUCAUACCCCUCAGCUUUGGGGGCCCCAGGGAAUUGGAACUCUUCCCCCAAGACAGAGCAGGGGUGAACUGUAGCUUGAUGCAGUAAUCUGGGACAAGACUGGUUGCUAGCACAUACUUUAUUAUCCCCCAAGGAUGGUCAGCCAUUUCUUCCCACAGCCAAAGCCCCAUCCCCUUCAUUUCCCUUCAGCCCCUGGAGGGGCUUCUAGUAUUACUGGGACAACGACCACGCUGCCUGUUUGUGAGUUACGGGCAACCAGCCUCUUCAGCCUCACACCCAUUCCCCUGAGAGCAAGAAGCCUGUGUGGUCUGGGCCAGUCUCUGCCAUGUCCUGAGUCUGCUUCAGUCUGGAGCUGUUUGUGGGGCGAGUGCCGUGUGGACAGAGGUGGAUGAUGUGUGUGCUUCAGGCUGCUCCCUGCCCCCUCUGACCUUUCCACGAGUGUCACAUGGGAAUGUGUGGGGCGCAGGGGCGGGUGCGGAGAGAGCACCUUUUUGCUUUUUGAGCUCUUGACCACCUCCAAUGUGUAGGUCCCUCCAGGCUGGGGCUUGGGACUGCUUAUGAUUUGGGGAUCAAGCCUCCAUGUCUAUUCUUGUUGCCUGUCCAGAUGCCAAAACUCUGUUGCUGCAGGGUUUGAACUUUUGGAAACCAAUUAAAAUGUGCCUUUUGUGGGCGGGGUCAAGAGCCCCUGGAUGUCGACCUCUCCCGCUGUGUGGCGUCCCCCUCCCACCUGUUGAAUACAUAGGGUUGGCUCUCUCAGGGCCCUGGGAAUGGGAAUGGGCAGCCCUGCUGUGGGCUGUUCCCCUCCCCUAGAGUUAAUCUCUUGGUCUGGCCAAGUUGCUGCUCCCUCAACCUUCCUGCUGUCUUCCCCUCCCUCAACCCCAAUAGGAGGAUCCCAGGAUAAACACUGCUGGGCAGGUGGGCAGGCAGGCCUGGGGCUGCCCUGCUCACUCUCAUUGUCUGGCCUCAGGACUUAGCCAUACUAGACCAGUCAGCUUGCCUGGAAGAGGGAGGUCCCACUAUGCCUUUGGGAGACACCUAUACUUAGGAAAAAGCCUUUGUUGUCCUCCCAUCCAUCCACUAAGCUGUUAUCUCAGCCUGUCCCUUCUGCCCCAGGGGCUUGCCUGGCUUGGCUGCAGUGCACUUUGAAAUGAAGUAUCUGUCCUUUGGCCCAGCCCCUGGUUUGCUUGUAGAAAACAUGGUAGGCUUCCCCAAGGCAUCUGCAGGGAACUUUGGCAGCUUGGGGCACCCUGAAUUAGCAAAAAUGGGGGGUGAUGAGGUGCUGAAGGAGGAUACUUAACAGCUUAGUGAGGAGGCAAGAGCUCCUCUGGGACCACCACUUCUUCAGGAGAGGGCCUGUGGGCUUGCUUUUGGAAGGCCUCAGGCAGACAUGUGCCCUCUCGGUGAUGUCUGUCUGCUGCCAGGAUGGAGCAGAGGAGCGCCACACAUGGAGGAAAGCCCCUGUAACGUUACCUACCUUAAACUCCACUCAUCAAAGCUGAGAAAAGUAUCCACUGGUCCCCAGGGUUUCAGUCAUGCUUUUGGGGGUCAUUGGGUAUUAGAGAAGUAAGUAUCUUUUCUGAGAGAGGGGGAGUCACCCCCACUACUGGGGAUUCCUCUGGGCUUUAUUCACUCCCAGCCCUGGCCCUGACCUUUGUGGGCCUCCCUAAUGCCCAGGGCAUGGAUGGCUUCAGAGGAGUUUUUGAAUCGAAGCCCGGGCUCCUUGUUGAUGUUUCUUCUCCUAGCCACACUUGGAGGAAAGCUGCAGGUGGGUUGGGCAGGGAGCAGGCAUGGUUCUGCUUUGCUGUUUGUCUUCCUAGUUAAGGCUCUUUAUAAAGAGCUUGUUCUUCAUGUUUUAAGCACUUUAUGAAGAAUAAAACAUUCAUGUACUG